UCGGGAAUUUUGGGCAAUGGGCGAAAGCCUGACCCAGCAACGCCGCGUGAAGGAUGAAGUAUUUCGGUAUGUAAACUUCGAAAGAAUAGGAAGAAUAAAUGACGGUACUAUUUAUAAGGUCUGGCUAACUACGUGCCAGCAGCCGCGGUAAUACGUAGGGACCAAGCGUUGUUCGGAUUUACUGGGCGUAAAGGGCGCGUAGGCGGCAAUUCAAGUCAUCUGUGAAAUCUCCGGGCUUAACUCGGAACGGUCAGAUGAUACUGCUUUGCUAGAGUGCAGAAGGGGCAAUCGGAAUUCUUGGUGUAGCGGUGAAAUGCGUAGAUAUCAAGAGGAACACCUGAGGUGAAGACGGGUUGCUGGGCUGACACUGACGCUGAGGCGCGAAAGCCAGGGGAGCAAACGGGAUUAGAUACCCCCGUAGUCCCUGAGCGGGCUGGCAAGGCGCAU
rnacentral:rRNA from 1 species